AUAAGAUACAAGUGCAACAAGCAGGAGGUUGAAAGAGCUGUGGUUGCCUCUGAAGGUGAUCUUGACACGGCAGCAGAAAGUUUAAGAGAACUGAAGCUAGAUCCACCUGCUGCUCCCCCUAAGCCAGAAGAAACUGGUGAUCCUCCAACAGUCAGUAAUGGUAAACUUUCAGUUGCAGUUAGCCAGAAUAUGGUGAGACAACAACAACAGAAAUCCAAUCCACCUUCUAUGAUACAACAAAAAA
rnacentral:misc_RNA from 1 species